CCUUAUCAAGAGUGGCGGAGGGACUGGCCCUGUGAAGCCCGGCAACCUGCGAAAAAUUCGCAAGGUGCUAAAUCCUGCAGAAUAUCUGUGAGAUGAG
rnacentral:ncRNA from 1 species